rnacentral:sRNA from 1 species
GAUAGCUAUGUGCGUACUGCAGUACAGAACAGAACUAGGGGGAAGAGAAGGGGACGUGGACUGAGGGCCAGGCUGUCUCUCCCUGUGCAUUCUGGCACAGAACUCCAAGAAGUCUGAGAAUUCUACAUGUAAAUCUGGCUUCACAGGCUAUUAUGAAGUGCUUUUCCACAUAAUGGUCAAAACCUAGGCCUCUCACCCUUCUUGGGGACCUUGAACACUGGAGGGUCAUUGCCAGAUCUAACCAACCUCCACUACUCGACACCCCUGCCAGCCUCCCUGGACACCACCGACCACCACUUUGGCAGUAUGAGUGUGGGGAAUAGUGUGAACAACAUCCCAGCUGCUAUGACCCACCUGGGUAUAAGAAGCUCCUCUGGUCUCCAGAGUUCUCGGAGUAACCCCUCCAUCCAAGCCACGCUCAAUAAGACUGUGCUUUCCUCUUCCUUAAAUAACCACCCACAGACGUCUGUUCCCAACGCAUCUGCUCUUCACCCUUCGCUCCGUCUGUUUUCCCUUAGCAACCCAUCUCUUUCCACCACAAACCUGAGCGGCCCGU